ACAUGAUACGAUUUAAACAGAAAAUGCAUGCUUCUGUAACACUUAUUACGUACUCUAUAAGGCACAAACAAUCACUUGCAUUAAUGUCCAAAUAAACCCAGUGGAACAAAAUUAACAGGAAAUUAUAAGAUAAACAAAAAUAAAAAAAAGAAGAAAAAAAGAGUUGA